rnacentral:rRNA from 1 species
GUGCCAGCCGCCGCGGUAAUACGGAGGGUGCAAGCGUUAUCCGGAUUUACUGGGUUUAAAGGGUGCGUAGGCGGGUAGGUAAGUCAGUGGUGAAAUCUUCGAGCUUAACUCGGAAAUUGCCGUUGAUACUAUUUAUCUUGAAUAUCGUUGAGGUUUGCGGAAUAUGUCAUGUAGCGGUGAAAUGCUUAGAGAUGACAUAGAACACCUAUUGCGAAGGCAGCAGGCUAAACGAACAUUGACGCUGAGGCACGAAAGCGUGGGGAUCAAACAGGAUUAGAAACCCCUGUAGUCC